rnacentral:rRNA from 1 species
UACGUAGGGGGCUAGCGUUGUCCGGAUUUAUUGGGCGUAAAGAGCUCGUAGGUGGUUCGGUAAGUCGGAUGUGAAAUCUCCAGGCUCAACCUGGAGGGGUCAUUCGAUACUGCCGUGACUAGAGUUCGGUAGAGGAGUGUGGAAUUCCUGGUGGAGCGGUGAAAUGCGCAGAGAUCAGGAGGAACACCCGUAGCGAAGGCGGUUCUCUGGGACGGUACUGACGCUGAGACGCGAAAGCGUGGGGAGCGAACAGG